UAACGGCUCACCAAGGCGACGACGGGUAGCCGGCCGAGAGGGCGACCGGCCACACUGGGACUGAGACACGGCCCAGACUCCUACGGGAGGCAGCAGUGGGGAAUCUUGCGCAAUGGGCGAAAGCCUGACGCAGCGACGCCGCGUGGGGGAUGAAGGCCUUCGGGUUGUAAACCCCUUUCAGCAGGGACGAAUUCAGACGGUACCUGCAGAAGAAGCGCCGGCUAACUACGUGCCAGCAGCCGCGGUAACACGUAGGGCGCAAGCGUUGUCCGGAAUUAUUGGGCGUAAAGAGCUCGUAGGCGGACUGUUGCGUCUGCUGUGAAAAGCUGGGGCUUAACCCUGGCCUGGCAGUGGAUACGGGCAGACUAGAGGUAGGUAGGGGAGAAUGGAAUUCCCGGUGUAGCGGUGAAAUG
rnacentral:rRNA from 1 species